rnacentral:rRNA from 1 species
GAGUUUGAUCUUGGCUCAGAGCGAACGCUGGCGGCAGGCUUAACACAUGCAAGUCGAGCGGGCGUAGCAAUACGUCAGCGGCAGACGGGUGAGUAACACGUGGGAACGUACCUUUUGGUUCGGAACAACUGAGGGAAACUUCAGCUAAUACCGGAUAAGCCCUAACGGGGAAAGAUUUAUCGCCGAAAGAUCGGCCCGCGUCUGAUUAGCUAGUUGGUGAGGUAAUGGCUCACCAAGGCGACGAUCAGUAGCUGGUCUGAGAGGAUGAUCAGCCACACUGGGACUGAGACACGGCCCAGACUCCUACGGGAGGCAGCAGUGGGGAAUAUUGGACAAUGGGGGCAACCCUGAUCCAGCCAUGCCGCGUGAGUGAUGAAGGCCCUAGGGUUGUAAAGCUCUUUGUGCGGGAAGAUAAUGACGGUACCGCAAGAAUAAGCCCCGACUAACUUCGUGCCAGCAGCCGCCGCAGUAAC